rnacentral:rRNA from 1 species
CCUACGGGUGGCAGCAGUCGAGAAUCAUUCACAAUGGGGGAAACCCUGAUGGCGCGACGCCGCGUGGGGGAAUGAAGGUCUGCGGAUUGUAAACCCCUGUCAUGUGGGAGCAAAUUAAAAAGAUAGUACCGCAAGAGGAAGAGACGGCUAACUCUGUGCCAGCAGCCGCGGUAAUACAGAGGUCUCAAGCGUUGUUCGGAAUCACUGGGCGUAAAGCGUGCGUAGGCUGUUUCGUAAGUCGUGUGUGAAAGGCGCGGGCUCAACCCGCGGACGGCACAUGAUACUGCGAGACUAGAGUGAUGGAGGGGGAACCGGAAUUCUCGGUGUAGCAGUGAAAUGCGUAGAUAGCGAGAGGAACACUCGUGGCGAAGGCGGGUUCCUGGACAUUAACUGACGCUGAGGCACGAAGGCCAGGGGAGCGAAAGGGAUUAGAUACCCCAGUAGUC